rnacentral:lncRNA from 1 species
AGGCCUAUGCAAAAAUCCUCGUAUUUAUCAUUAUCUGAAGACUGACAUAUUUAAUGUUAUUUAAUCUGAUGGGUUGAGUGGUUUGUGUUGUUUUUGCUGUAAUCUGAAGUUGCUCUGUUCUUUAUUUAUCUAGUUUUCACUCUUCACAGACAACAGAUUUCACACGGUGAAAUGGAUCUUCUCUCUUAAACAGCAUCAUUUAUUAAGAUAUUGUGUGAGCAGAAGCACCAUUGCUCAGUCAAAAGAAGCAAUCAUCUGUUUGGAGGUGGAGAGUACAGCAGACAUUGAUAACCUUAACUGAAGCAUCUGCGUCAUUUGAACUGGAAUAACUGAGAUGGUUUUCCCUGCUCGGUCCCUGUGACAGGCUGGCCAUGCUUCAGCCAGCUUUAUUUAUCACACAGUUCACUGACUGCUUAGGCUGGAAAUCCACAAGGGAUGCGGGAGAUAAAGACUCCAUGUGCAAAUGUGUUCGCAGCUCCAAGCCUUUGCAGAGUCUUUAACUGCUCAGUGAGCGCACAAGGUCUCUCCUCUGGAGAGAAAGUCCUGCCUGGGAAGAGUCCUUCUCUUCACUCUAACAGUUUGCUGUGCUGGCCAUCACUUCUGGAAAAUUAUUUAGGGAGAAUGUGUGCAUAUUCUUUCUUGUCUAAUCAGACAUCAACAUUACCUACUGCGUAUAGUGCAGAUUAAAUAAUCAGAAAUGCCUGUUGCUUUUGGGUCCUCAGUUUUCACUGCUCUUAGAAUGACCCUGAUUUCUU